rfam:Echinops telfairi cont1.339794, whole genome shotgun sequence.
CUGGAUCUUCUUUUCCAGUGGGGACUGAGAGCCCAUUGCGAUCCGAGAGUCUUGAGUAUAUCUGGCCCAGGCCAAC